UACGGAGGGGGCCAGCGUUGUUCGGAAUCACUGGGCGUAAAGGGUGCGUAGGCGGGUCUUUAAGUCAGGGGUGAAAUCCUGGAGCUCAACUCCAGAACUGCCUUUGAUACUGAGGAUCUUGAGUUCGGGAGAGGUGAGUGGAACUGCGAGUGUAGAGGUGAAAUUCGUAGAUAUUCGCAAGAACACCAGUGGCGAAGGCGGCUCACUGGCCCGAUACUGACGCUGAGGCACGAAAGCGUGGGGAGCAAACAGG
rnacentral:rRNA from 1 species